rnacentral:rRNA from 1 species
ACUGAACGCUGGCGGCAUGCUUUACACAUGCAAGUCGAACGGUAACAGGCCGCAAGGUGCUGACGAGUGGCGAACGGGUGAGUAAUGCAUCGGAACGUGCCCAGUCGUGGGGGAUAACGCAGCGAAAGCUGCGCUAAUACCGCAUACGAUCUCUGGAUGAAAGCGGGGGACCGAAAGGCCUCGCGCGAUUGGAGCGGCCGAUGUCAGAUUAGGUAGUUGGGGGGGUAAAGGCCCACCAAGCCAACGAUCUGUAGCUGGUCUGAGAGGACGACCAGCCACACUGGGACUGAGACACGGCCCAGACUCCUACGGGAGGCAGCAGUGGGGAAUUUUGGACAAUGGGCGCAAGCCUGAUCCAGCAAUGCCGCGUGCAGGAAGAAGGCCUUCGGGUUGUAAACUGCUUUUGUACGGAACGAAACGGUCCGGGUUAAUACCCUGGGCUAAUGACGGUACCGUAAGAAUAAGCACCGGCUAACUACGUGCCAGCCGCCGCGGUAAGAC